GGUGAGAUGGCCGAGUUGGUUAUGGCGCCAGGUUAAGGUUACCUUAACACGUUUCCUGGUGGAGCAAUCCUCAUGGGUUCGAAUCCCAUUCUCAUCA
rfam:Isaria fumosorosea ARSEF 2679 scaffold_11, whole genome shotgun sequence.